rnacentral:rRNA from 1 species
GCUCAGGAUGAACGCUGGCGGCGUGCUUAACACAUGCAAGUCGAACGGGAUCCCUGGCAGCUUGCUGCCGGGGUGAGAGUGGCGAACGGGUGAGUAAUGCGUGACCGACCUGCCCCAUGCACCGGAAUAGCUCCUGGAAACGGGUGGUAAUGCCGGAUGUUCCACAUGAGCGCAUGCGAGUGUGGGAAAGGCUUUUUGCGGCAUGGGAUGGGGUCGCGUCCUAUCAGCUUGUUGGUGGGGUAACGGCCUACCAAGGCGUUGACGGGUAGCCGGCCUGAGAGGGCGACCGGCCACAUUGGGACUGAGAUACGGCCCAGACUCCUACGGGAGGCAGCAGUGGGGAAUAUUGCACAAUGGGCGCAAGCCUGAUGCAGCGACGCCGCGUGCGGGAUGGAGGCCUUCGGGUUGUAAACCGCUUUUGUUCAAGGGCAAGGCACGGUCUUUGGCCGUGUUGAGUGGAUUGUUCGAAUAAGCACCGGCUAACUACGUGCCAGCAGCCGCGGUAAUACGUAGGGUGCAAGCGUUAUCCGGAUUUAUUGGGCGUAAAGGGCUCGUAGGCGGUUCGUCGCGUCCGGUGUGAAAGUCCAUCGCUUAACGGUGGAUCCGCGCCGGGUACGGGCGGGCUUGAGUGCGGUAGGGGAGACUGGAAUUCCCGGUGUAACGGUGGAAUGUGUAGAUAUCGGGAAGAACACCAAUGGCGAAGGCAGGUCUCUGGGCCGUUACUGACGCUGAGGAGCGAAAGCGUGGGGAGCGAACAGGAUUAGAUACCCUGGUAGUCCACGCCGUAAACGGUGGAUGCUGGAUGUGGGGCCCUUUUU